rnacentral:lncRNA from 1 species
AAAUGUUGUGCUCUUAGUAUCUUCGACUCGGUGCUCUAGACACAUAGUUGAAAAUUAGCAACAUGUUCAGGCAAUGGAGGAUCCCUAGAAGCAGGUUGAUCAACUCCCUAUCCUCCCGCUUAUGCGGACUCAUGAACAACUUAGUCAUAGGAACAUCCAACUGUACCAUAAGUAUAGGUGUUACCCGAUGCAAAACCUUCGGCUUCUAUUCGCAAUCUUCCGG